rnacentral:lncRNA from 1 species
UUAUAUUUUAUUUAACUUUUUUAACUGCAUAUAUAUUAAUGCCUUGCGACAGAGCCAAGUUUCGACUAAGGGGACCAACACACUUUAUGCUGCUAUCUAAUUAUUUUUUAAUCUUUUUAAAAGAAAAAAAAUUUUGUUGUAAGGCUUUUGCAUUUAAUAUAUUAUUGUAUUGAAGGUUGUUAAACCUUUGAUAUGUAAAAUAUUAUAAAUAAUAAUAGUGAAAAAUAGGGAAUAAAAU